rnacentral:rRNA from 1 species
GACGAACGCUGGCGGCGUGCCUAAUACAUGCAAGUUGAGCGCUGAAGGUUGGUACUUGUACCAACUGGAUGAGCAGCGAACGGGUGAGUAACGCGUGGGGAAUCUGCCUUUGAGCGGGGGACAACAUUUGGAAACGAAUGCUAAUACCGCAUAAAAACUUUAAACACAAGUUUUAAGUUUGAAAGAUGCAAUUGCAUCACUCAAAGAUGAUCCCGCGUUGUAUUAGCUAGUUGGUGAGGUAAAGGCUCACCAAGGCGAUGAUACAUAGCCGACCUGAGAGGGUGAUCGGCCACAUUGGGACUGAGACACGGCCCAAACGCCUACGGGAGGCAGCAGUAGGGAAUCCUCGGCAAUGGACGAAAGUCUGACCGAGAAACGCCGCGUGAGUGAAGAAGGAUUUCGGAUCGUAAAACUCUGUUGGUAGAGAAGAAAGUUGGUGAGAGUGGAAAGCUCAUCAAGUGACGGUAACUACCCAGAGAGGGACGGCUAACUACGUG